rnacentral:ncRNA from 1 species
UCUACAUCGCCACCGGGUGAAAAUGUUAAAAGCAUUUGUCCGUACAUCGUUAGGUCUUUGAAGAUGUACCGACAAGUGCUUUUCUUUU